UGAGACUGUAGACACUAGAGCCGCAAUGGAGGUGUGACUGUAGACACUGUAGAGCCGCAAUGGAGGUGUGACGGUAGACACUGUAGAGCCGCAAUGGAGGUGAGAUCGUAGACACUGUAGAGCCGCAAUGGAGGUGAGACUGUAGACACUGUAGAGCCGCAAUGGAGGUGAGACUGUGGACACUGUAGAGCUGCAAUGGAGGUGAGACUGUAGACACUGUAGAGCCGCAAUGGAGGUGAGACUAGACACUGUAGAGCCGCAAUGGAGGUGAGACUGUAGACACUGUAGAGACUGUAGACACUGUAGAGCCACAAUGGAGGCUGAAAACUGCCUAACCAGCUCUGCUAGGGCCAGUAAGAUGGUCAGAGUGAGCUGUUCUCUCGUUUGUGUCUGGAAGUAGCUAGCACGUUAGCCAGUUAGCUUGGGUGUUUGACUGCCGUUGUGAGGUCAGAACGCUCAGAUCAACCCUACUGCAGCUGCUUCCACCGUUGGGGUUCCAGGACAGAGAAGAGC
rnacentral:lncRNA from 1 species